rnacentral:tRNA from 1 species
UCCCUAGUAGCUCAGCCGGUUAGAGCGGCGGACUGUUAAUCCGUAGGUCGUUGGUUCGAGUCCAACCUGGGGAGCCA